rnacentral:rRNA from 1 species
GACGAACGCUGGCGGCGUGCUUAACACAUGCAAGUCGAACGAUGAAGCCGGAGCUUGCUCUGGUGAAUUAGUGGCGAACGGGUGAGUAACACGUGAGUAACCUGCCCUUGACUCUGGGAUAACUGCGGGAAACUGUAGCUAAUACCGGAUACGACCCUCGGAGGCAUCUCCUGGGGGUGGAAAGAAUUUCGGUCAAGGAUGGACUCGCGGCCUAUCAGCUAGUUGGUGAGGUAAAGGCUCACCAAGGCGACGACGGGGAGCCGGCCUGACCGGGGGACCGGCAACACUGGGAAUGGGAAACGGCCCAGACUCCUACGGGAGGCAGCAGUGGGUAAUGUUGCACAAUGGGCGCAAGCCUGAUGCAGCAACGCCGCGUGAGGGAUGACGGCCUUCGGGUUGUAAACCUCUUUUAGCAGGGAAGAAGCGAAAGUGACGGUGCCUGCUGAAAAAGCACCGGCUAACUACGUGCCAGCAGCCGCCGUAA